GGGGGGCAGGCCUAACACAUUCAAGUCGACGCGGUAGAGAGAAGCUUGCUUCUCUUGAGAGCGGCGGACGGGUGAGUAAUGCCUAGGAAUCUGCCUGGUAGUGGGGGAUAACGUUGGGAAACGGACGCUAAUACCGCAUACGUCCUACGGGAGAAAGCAGGGGACCUUCGGGCCUUGCGCUAUCAGAUGAGCCUAGGUCGGAUUAGCUAGUUGGUGGGGUAAUGGCUCACCAAGGCGACGAUCCGUAACUAGGUCUGAGAGGAUGAUCAGUCACACUGGAACUGAGACACGGUCCAGACUCCUACGGGAGGCAGUCAGUGGGGAAUAUUGGACAAUGGGCGAUAAGCCUGAUGCCCAGCCAUNCCGCGUGUGUCGAGAGCAAGAGUCUUCAGGCUUGUACAACGCACCUGUAAGUUGGGAGGAAGGGCAGNAACCUAAUACGUCACGGUUUAGACGUAACCGACAGAAUAAGCACCGGCACC
rnacentral:rRNA from 1 species